rnacentral:snRNA from 1 species
GUGCUCGCUUUGGCAGCACAUAUACGAAAACGAUACAGAGAAGAUUAGCACGGCCCCUGUGCAAGGAUGACACGUAAAUUUGUGAAGCUUUCCAUAUUUUU